rnacentral:rRNA from 1 species
CCUACGGGCGGCAGCAGUAGGGAAUAUUGCUCAAUGGGGGAAAGCCUGAAGCAGCAACGCCGCGUGGAGGAUGAAGGUUUUCGGAUUGUAAACCUCUUUUGUUAGAGAAGAUAAUGAAGGUAUCUAAUGAAUAUGGACUGGCCAAUUCCGGCCCAGCAGCCGCGGUAAUACGGCGGGUGCGAGCGUUACUCGGAAUAACUGGGCGUAAAGGGCGCGUAGGCGGGAUGGCAAGUCAGGUGUGAAAUCCCAGGGCUUAACCAUAGAACUGCAUUUGAAACUGGUAGUCUGGAGUAUGGGAGAGGUAGGUGGAAUUCUUGGUGUAGGGGUGAAAUCCGUAGAGAUCAAGAGGAAUACUCAUUGCGAAGGCGACCUGCUAGAACAUAACUGACGCUGAUGCGCGAAAGCGUGGGGAGCAAACAGGAUUAGAUACCCGAGUAGUC